rnacentral:ncRNA from 1 species
ACUCAGUACAAGUUUUAUUGGGUAAAAUUAAUAAUUAAAAACAUCGAGGACUUAAUAUUUUUAAUCUAUUCUCAAAUUUUAAAUAGAUAGGACAGCAUGACUACUUUAUCGAGCUAAGCUACAAAAUCAAAAGU